rnacentral:ncRNA from 1 species
AUAAAGUUUAAUUUUAGCUUAAAAUUUUAUUUAAUUUUUUACUUACAUGUAAAUUUUUGUAUGAUUUUUAAUUAAAUUUAAAUAGUUUUUUUAAAAUGAUUUUAUUCGCAGUAUAUAAUUUUAAUAAUUUAAGAAAUUAAGAAUUAUAAAUAAAUUUUAAUAUUGACAAAUUUUGUGCCAGCAGUUGCGGUUAUACAAAGAAUAUAAAUAAAAUUUAUUAGUAAAUAAUUAUAUGAUAUUAAAUUAUAAAAAUUAAAGUUAUAUUUAUUAAGUGAAAUUUUAAAUAUAAAAAUAUAUUUUAUAUAAAAUUUUAUUAUUAUGAAAUUUAUUUUUAAACUAGGAUUAGAUACCCUAUUAUUAUAAAUGUAAAAAUUAUUACUUAAGUAGUAUUAGUUAUGUUCUUGAAAUUUAAAAAUUUUGGCGGUAUUUUAGUCUAUUUAGAGGAACCUGUUCUGUAAUUGAUAAUCCACGAUUAAUUUUACUUAAUUUAUAAAUUUGUAUACCGUCGUUAUAAGAAGAUUUUAAAAGAAUUUAAAUUUUUAAUAUUUUAUAUAAAAAAAUAUAUCAGAUCAAGGUGCAGUAAAUAAUUAAGUAGAAAUGGGUUACAAUAAAUGUAUUUAAUUUAAUGAAUUAAAGUAUGAAAAAUCUUUAUGAAAGUGGAUUUAAUAGUAAUAAAAUUAAUUUAAAUUUUAUGAUUUAAGCUCUGAAAUAUGUACAUAUCGCCCGUCACUCUUAUUAUAAAAUAAGAUAAGUCGUAACAUAGUAGAUGUACUGGAAAGUGUAUCUAGAAUGAA